UCUUCUUGUGAUGAUGUCAGAUGAUAAAAUGCCCAUGUGAUGCGAUGACGUGAGGUGAAUGACGCAGACAUUGUGACAUAGCGUUAGGCUACUAUUGACCUUCUGAUGAUACAUCAGGAGGAUCAUCUGCUUCCAGGCUGAGG